rnacentral:rRNA from 1 species
UACGGAGGGUGCUAGCGUUGUUCGGAUUUAUUGGGCGUAAAGGGCGCGUAGGCGGCGGGGUAAGUCGGGUGUGAAAUCUCAGGGCUCAACCCUGAAACUGCACUUGAUACUGCUCUGCUUGAGGACUGGAGAGGAGACUGGAAUUCACGGUGUAGCAGUGAAAUGCGUAGAUAUCGUGAGGAAGACCAGUGGCGAAGGCGGGUCUCUGGACAGUUCCUGACGCUGAGGCGCGAAGGCCAGGGGAGCAAACGGG